rnacentral:rRNA from 1 species
GACGAACGCUGGCGGCGUGCUUAACACAUGCAAGUCGAACGGAAAGGCCCUGCUUUUGUGGGGUGCUCGAGUGGCGAACGGGUGAGUAACACGUGAGUAACCUGCCCUCGACUUUGGGAUAACUUCAGGAAACUGGGGCUAAUACCGGAUAGGAGCUCCUGCUGCAUGGUGGGGGUUGGAAAGUUUCGGCGGUUGGGGGUGGACUCGCGGCUUAUCAGCUUGUUGGUGGGGUAGUGGCUUACCAAGGCUUUGACGGGUAGCCGGCCUGAGAGGGUGACCGGCCACAUUGGGACUGAGAUACGGCCCAGACUCCUACGGGAGGCAGCAGUGGGGAAUAUUGCACAAUGGGCGGAAGCCUGAUGCAGCAACGCCGCGUGCGGGAUGACGGCCUUCGGGUUGUAAACCGCUUUCGCCUGUGACGAAGCGUGAGUGACGGUAAUGGGUAAAGAAGCACCGGCUAACUACGUG